GGGGUUCGAUUCCGGAGAGGGUGCCUGAGAGAUGGCAACCAUGGCUAUGGCCAGCAGCAGGCGCGCAAAUUGCCCAAUGCCGACACGGUGAGGCAGCGACGAAAAAUAACAACUUCACCGCCCUUUAGGGCAUGAAGUUUGUAAUGAUUUGUAAACACACGUACUAAGAGUAUCCAUUGGAGGACAAGUCUGGUGCCAGCACCCGCGGUAAUACCAGCUCCAAGAGCGUAUAUUUAUGUUGCUGCGGUUAAAAAGCUCGUAGUUGGACGUAAGAGUCGAGACUGUGGUCCGACAAGCCGGUUGAAAGGUUCGCCUGGAGGCCGGUGCACUCGGCUGCAAUAUGUCAACGCUCUUUCAUCUUGCGGGAGUGGUUGCUUGCCGAAGCCACCUUUAUUGGUCGGUGGAAGCUCUUUCGGAGUCUCUCGCUCCACAAGGCACGCCCGCAGAUGUUACUGUGAGUAAAUCAGAAUGUUCAAAGCAGACGGCUUGCCGUUUGAAUGUUAAAGCAUGGGAUAACAAGGGAUCGACCGCUAAGGCCUCUUUUUGUUGGUUUUCAAGCCUCAGUGUGGCAACUCCGCAAAGAGCUACUCCUGGGCGUUUCCGGAUCCUUCCGGGGGCGUCCUUGUAGAGCCCUUUGUCUUCGGGAUCAAUAGGAGCGCGGGGAGCAAUCAGUACUUCGAGGUGAGAGGUGAAAUUCAUAGACCCUCGAAAGACUAACAUCAGCGAAAGCCGUUUGCUAUCGCGCUUUCAUUAAUCAAGAACGAGAGAAAGGGGAUCGAAGAUGAUCAGAUACCGUCGUAGUCCUUUCCGUAAAUGAUGCAGACUCGGGAUCGGUCACUGUUCUUCUAGUGACAUGAUCGGCACCUUAUUCCCUGUCGAGAAAUCAAAGUCUUUGUGUUCCGGGGGGAGUAUAUUCGCAAGGCUGAAACUUAAAGGAAUUGACGGAAAACCACCACCAGACGUGGAGUGUGUGGCUUAAUUCGACCCAACACGGGAAAUCUUACCAGGCCAGGACAUGGUAAGGAUUGCCAGAUUGAAAGCUCUUGCAUGAUCCCAUGAAGGGUAGUGCAUGGCCGCUUCUGGUUGGUGGAGUGAUUUGUCUGCUUAAUUGCGUUAACGAACGAGAUCUCUGCCAAUAAAUAGACGGUAGUUCCGCCUUAGGUUAUUCUUCGUCCUUUGGUUCUGCCAAGGGUCGUUGAGUGCUGAGGAGCUGCCCGUUACUUAUUGGGAUUAUGUAUCCCUCAAAUACAUUGAAACGAGAGCCAAAAGCAGGUCUGUGAUGCUCCUAUAUGUCCUGGGCCGCACGCGCACUACACUGACACAGAAAACGAGCAUUCCGCUUGCGGCCUGCGCCGAAGGGCGCGGGAAAUCUUUGAAACCUGUGUCGUGAUGGGGAUAGAUCAUUGAAAUUAUUGUCCUUGAACGAGGAAUGUCUUGUAGGCGCGUUUCAUCAGAACGCACCGAAUACGUCCCUGGUUUUUGUACACACCGCCCGUCGUUGCCUGUAAUGGCUUGCGAGUAGAACCGUUUGGAGAUACUGGUGCUUGCAUCGGUUCAAAAUUCGGUAAUACUUGUAAGCUAGAAGAGGCAAAAGUCGUAACAAGGUU
rnacentral:rRNA from 1 species